rnacentral:tRNA from 1 species
GCGGGAAUAGCUCAGUGGUAGAGCACCACGUUGCCAACGUGGAAGUCGCGGGUUCAAGUCCCGUUUCCCGCU